rnacentral:rRNA from 1 species
GGUAUCGCUACGUGAAUACAUAGCGUAGCGAGGCGAACCGGGAGAACUGAAACAUCUAAGUACCCCGAGGAAAAGAAAUCAACCGAGAUUCCCUCAGUAGCGGCGAGCGAACGGGGAUUAGCCCUUAAGCAUCUUGGAAGUUAGUGGAACGGUCCUGGAAAGGCCGGCGAUACAGGGUGAUAGCCCCGUACACGAAAACAACCUUGAUGUGAAAUCGAGUAGGGCGGGACACGUGACAUCCUGUCUGAAUAUGGGGGGACCAUCCUCCAAGGCUAAAUACUCCUGACUGACCGAUAGUGAACCAGUACCGUGAGGGAAAGGCGAAAAGAACCCCUGUGAGGGGAGUGAAAUAGAACCUGAAACCGUGUACGUACAAGCAGUGGGAGCCCUUCGGGGUGACUGCGUACCUUUUGUAUAAUGGGUCAGCGACUUACAUUUUGUAGCGAGGUUAACCGUAUAGGGGAGCCGUAGGGAAACCGAGUCUUAACUGGGCGUCUAGUUGCAAGGUGUAGACCCGAAACCGGGUGAUCUAGCCAUGGGCAGGUUGAAGGUUGAGUAACAUCAACUGGAGGACCGAACCCACUAACGUUGCAAAGUUAGGGGAUGACCUGUGGCUGGGGGUGAAAGGCCAAUCAAACUCGGAGAUAGCUGGUUCUCCCCGAAAGCUAUUUAGGUAGCGCCUCGGACGAAUACUACUGGGGGUAGAGCACUGUUUGGGCUAGGGGGUCAUCCCGACUUACCAACCCCAUGCAAACUCCGAAUACCAGUAAGUA